GAUGAAGAACGCAGCGAAAUGCGAUACUUGGUGUGAAUUGCAGAAUCCCGUGAACCAUCGAGUCUUUGAACGCAAGUUGCGCCCGAAGCCAUUAGGCCGAGGGCACGCCUGCCUGGGCGUCACACGUCGUUGCCCCCCCAUCUACUCCUUCGGGAUUGCGGGGGGCGGAUGAUAGCCUCCCGUGCGCCUCGCCGCGCGGUUGGCAUAAAUGCCAAGUCCUCGGCGACGCACGCCACGACAAUCGGUGGUUGCGAAACCUCGGUUGCCCGUCGUGUGCGGUCGUCGCGCAUCGAGGGCUCGAAAAAAUUGCCGGGUUCCGGCUCGGCUUUCAACGCGACCCCAGGUCAGGCGGGGUUACCCGCUGAAUUUAAGCAUAUCAAUAAGCGGAGGA
rnacentral:misc_RNA from 1 species